AGGGGGAGAAAAGGUAACCUAACAACGACCAGCAGAGGGAGACAGGGUGAAGGGAAAGGACAGAGACAAGACACAACAUGACAGUACAUGACAGAAAGGGUGAGAAAUAACUUAAGUUUCUCAUUUGGUGUAACAUACUACACUGCAUUUUUCUCAAUAAAAAGGACCAUAUUUUUGUCACUGUGAUCCCUGUUCCCCAUGUAUUGUAGACAUGGUGGUCCGUUCUCGGCGAGACUACAGGACACCUGGCCCUCAUUACGCUCUGGGACAGAACAAGAGGAGACCCUGAGGGCCAUACCAUAUUCUAAUGUUUCAUCUAUUGGUGUGUUAGAGAGCGCCCACGGAUCAGGCUAUCCACAUUGGAUCUGUCCAAGAUGGCCUUCCUUCCAGAUGGAUCCUCAGGGAGAGAGUACUUGCGCUUCCUUGAGGACAAUAGGGUGACCCCUGACUCAAGGGCAGAUGUGAAGUUUGUGGAUAAUGAAGAGUUGGCGUAUGUUAUGCAGAGAUACAGAGAGGUCCACGAUUUACUGCACAGCUUACUGGGCUUGCCCACUAACAUGCUAGUUGUCUGGAAUCCCUGGUGACAGGGACGUGGGCUGUGAGGAAUGGCCGACAGGCUCACUGUGUCCUCAGCAUCUUCUACGAGCGAUGCUGGGAGCAGAGUCUGUAGGACCUAAGACUGGAACUGAACAUCGAGCCCCCCCUGCUGACCGUCACAGCUUCUAGCCAGAGACCACAUCAGACCCAUAGCACUGACCUCUGAUGUCACACUGUGUCUGGUCACACUGUGCAACCAGAUGGUAGAGGAUGCAGGAACUCUUUGGAGUGAUGUAAUGUUGGAAUUUUGUGGGCUGAAUGUAUUAUGGCAAUUGUGUCAAGCUUCCCUGUGUUUCAAAGUGAAUAAUGGUGAAGGAAGGAAAGGCCUAUAUUCAAAAUGGGGGCAGGGGAUUUCCAGAGGCAUUACCAGAGAGAGAUUGUUACCCCCUUACCAAGGUUGAGAUCAUUUCCCCUUGACAAUGGUUAAGUACAUUAUGACCUGACAUUGAGUAGAAGGGACAUUUUUGGAACAAAACCUUGUUGAGGGUCUUGUAUUACCUACGGCCAUUCUUCAAGCGACAAGUCAUUACCUAGGUUGGACAAACCAAGGACAUGCAAGAGCCUGUUGCUGCUGGUUACACCAGUGGUGGCUUAGUCAUGUCUGGUAUCAUUCAGACGCUGAGACUGGUUCUAUCUGACAUUUCCUUCUCUUAUAACUCAAGGUACAUCACCCACCUGGUACUGUAAUGACUGUCAAUCAUUGACUGAGUUUUAUUUGACAAUGUGUGUGUUCAUGACAAGCACAGCACUGUUCAUGUAUCUCUGGUGUGAGAUGUCACUUAUCAAUAAAUUGUUUGUACUUUGUUGAAA